UACGUAGGGUGCAAGCGUUGUCCGGAAUUAUUGGGCGUAAAGAGCGUGUAGGCGGUCCGGUAAGUCAGCUGUGAAAGUCAAGGGCUCAACCCUUGAAAGCCGGUUGAUACUGUCGGGCUAGAGUCCGGAAGAGGCGAGUGGAAUUCCCGGUGUAGCGGUGAAAUGCGCAGAUAUCGGGAAGGAACACCAAUGGCGAAGGCAGCUCGCUGGGACGGUACUGACGCUGAGACGCGAAAGCGUGGGGAGCAACAGGG
rnacentral:rRNA from 1 species